GGACCCGCACAAGCGGUGGAUUAUGUGGAUUAAUUCGAUGCAACGCGAAAAACCUUACCUACCCUUGACAUGUAUCGAAGCCCGCAGAAAAGCGGGGGUGCCCGAAAGGGAACGAUAACACAGGUGCUGCAUGGCUGUCGUCAGCUCGUGUCGUGAGAUGUUGGGUUAAGUCCCGCAACGAGCGCAACCCUUGUCAUUAAUUGCCAUCAUUUAGUUGGGCACUUUAAUGAGACUGCCGGUGACAAACCGGAGGAAGGUGGGGAUGACGUCAAGUCCUCAUGGCCCUUAUGGGUAGGGCUUCACACGUAAUACAAUGGCGCGUACAGAGGGUUGCCAACCCGCGAGGGGGAGCUAAUCUCAGAAAGCGCGUCGUAGUCCGGAUCGGAGUCUGCAACUCGACUCCGUG
rnacentral:rRNA from 1 species